rnacentral:rRNA from 1 species
GAUGAACGCUGGCGGCGUGCCUAAUACAUGCAAGUCGAGCGAACGGACGAGAAGCUUGCUUUUCUGAUGUUAGCGGCGGACGGGUGAGUAACACGUGGAUAACCUACCUAUAAGACUGGGAUAACUUCGGGAAACCGGAGCUAAUACCGGAUAAUAUUUUGAACCGCAUGGUUCAAAAGUGAAAGACGGUCUUGCUGUCACUUAUAGUGGAUCCGCGCUGCAUUAGCUAGUUGGUAAGGUAACGGCUUACCAAGGCAACGAUGCAUAGCCGACCUGAGAGGGUGAUCGGCCACACUGGAACUGAGACACGGUCCAGACUCCUACGGGAGGCAGCAGUAGGGAAUCUUCCGCAAUGGGCGAAAGCCUGACGGAGCAACGCCGCGUGAGUGAUGAAGGUCUUCGGAUCGUAAAACUCUGUUAUUAGGGAAGAACAUAUGUGUAAGUAACUGUGCACAUCUUGACGGUACCUAAUCAGAAAGCCACGGCUAACUACGUG